CCUACGGGUGGCAGCAGUGAGGAAUAUUGGUCAAUGGACGAGAGUCUGAACCAGCCAAGUAGCGUGAAGGAUGACUGCCCUAUGGGUUGUAAACUUCUUUUAUAUGGGAAUAAAACGUUCCACGUGUGGGAUUUUGUAUGUACCAUAUGAAUAAGGAUCGGCUAACUCCGUGCCAGCAGCCGCGGUAAUACGGAGGAUCCGAGCGUUAUCCGGAUUUAUUGGGUUUAAAGGGAGCGUAGGUGGAUUGUUAAGUCAGUUGUGAAAGUUUGCGGCUCAACCGUAAAAUUGCAGUUGAAACUGGCAGUCUUGAGUACAGUAGAGGUGGGCGGAAUUCGUGGUGUAGCGGUGAAAUGCUUAGAUAUCACGAAGAACUCCGAUUGCGAAGGCAGUUCACUGGACUGCAACUGACACUGAGGCUCGAAAGUGUGGGUAUCAAACAGGAUUAGAACACCUGUAGUC
rnacentral:rRNA from 1 species